GACAAGACGAUGAACGGGAAGAGUACGCGGAAACAGCACUGUCAAAGAGAGUCGGGAACAGGUGAAAGCCCGACCAGUCGCCUCUGCUGAAAAUCACCCGGGAGUUCAAAAUCCGAAAGCUUGGCCGCACGUUGUUGAGGCAGGCAAGUAAGUGAGCGCGUCAUUCCCGUUACGAAUGAACGAGUGGAACGAAUCCCUCUGCAUGUUUGCCGACGGGUUUGUUCAAUCAGGGUGGUACCACGGGAGCCUUCUCUCGUCCCUUUU
rnacentral:ncRNA from 1 species